UGGCCACGCCCUCUUGAAAUGCAGGUUCCCGUACGAUCACCGAAAUUAAGCAUCGUUGAGCCUGGUCAUUACCAAGAUGGGUGACCACUUGGGAAAACCAAGGACUGUAA